rnacentral:rRNA from 1 species
CACGUAGGGCGCAAGCGUUGUCCGGAAUUAUUGGGCGUAAAGAGCGUGUAGGCGGCCAGGUAGGUCAGCUGUGAAAACUCGAGGCUCAACCUCGAGACGCCGGUUGAAACCAUCUGGCUAGAGUCCGGAAGAGGAGAGUGGAAUUCCUGGUGUAGCGGUGAAAUGCGCAGAUAUCAGGAAGAACACCCGUGGCUAAGGCGGCUCUCUAGUACGGUACUGACGCUGAGACGCGAAAGCGUGGGGAGCGAACAGG